CAGGAAGAACUUUAAACAAUCUAUAUGCUUCCUUUUGAUUGAGAACUAACAUCAGAAUCAUCUCAAUCAUGAGAAUCAUCUAUUUCCAAAAAAAUGGAUUCAUCGAAUGAACCUUUGGCCAACAACUGUUCGAGAACGAUGUUAAUAUCAUGCGUGGGAAUGCUACGUUUUCUAGUAUUUGACAUUUACAGCAAUCGAGAAUUACUGUAUUUUGUAAAUGGAAAUACCACUACUAAAAAGAGAGAGCUAUAAAUAGAAUGAUGUCUUUUGUUUCCAAAAUCAAUGUGCU
rnacentral:lncRNA from 10 species